GAUGAACGCUGGCGGCGUGCUUAACACAUGCCAGUCGAACGAUGAAGCCCAGCUUGCUGGGUGGAUUAGUGGCGCACGGGUGAGUAACACGCGAGUAACAUGCCCUUUACUCUGGGGUAUGCCUGGGAAAAUGUGUCUAAUACUGGAUAUGACUUCUCAUCGCAUGGUGGGGGGUGGAAAGAUUUAUUGGUCUUGGAUGGACUCGCGGCCUAUCAGCUUGUUGGUGGGGUAAUGGCUCACCAAGGCGACGACGGGUAGCCGGCCUGAGAGGGUGACCGGCCACACUGGGACUGAGACACGGCCCAGACUCCUACGGGAGGCAGCAGUGGGGAAUAUUGCACAAUGGGCGCAAGCCUGAUGCAGCGACGCCGCGUGAGGGAUGACGGCCUUCGGGUUGUAAACCUCUUUCAGUAGGGAAGAAGCGAGAGUGACGGUACCUGCAGAAGAAGCGCCGGCUAACUACGUG
rnacentral:rRNA from 1 species